GUCCACGCCCUAAACGAUGCACACUAGACCGAUGCGGCUCUGACGUCGUAUUGGUCGUAGAGAAAUUGAUAAGUGUGCCGCCUUGGGAGUACGGUCGCAAGGCUAAAACUCAAAGAAAUUGACGGGGGCUCACACAAGCGGUGGAGCAUGUUGCUUAAUUCGAAGCAACGCGAAGAACCUUACCCGGGUUUGACAUGUACGGAUUAGUAUCUGGAAACAGGUAUGAGGCCCGCAAGGGUACAACGUGCACAGGUGCUGCAUGGCUGUCGU
rnacentral:rRNA from 1 species